ACAAGGCCUUACCAAUUAUGUAGACAAACCCAUUAGUCUUUAGGAUUUUUUUUUUUUUUAAACUCCAGUCUUGAGGAUUUCUACCGUUCAUGUUGAUGUAGUUUCGUUGCAGAACCGUCGUUCCUUUUGGGAUCACAUCGCUUCCGGCCACGCUUGUGUAACUGCUACAAUCAUCAUUGUUACGUCGUAUUAAGUCGGACUUCUUCCUUCUCUCCUAUUAUCUACAUAAUUUUCUUCAUAUCUUUUCUUUAUUAUUUUGUUUUCUCUUAUUAUUCAAGAUUUGUUAUUUCCUUUCUUUGUUUAGCAAGAAAUCUCUUCUUCUUCGUCAUCCCAAGCAGUCUGUGACAUAGCUCCGCCGUCAAGAAGAGAAAGAAGAAUUCGGACUCUGCCGCCGCAUUAACUACAUUAAGCGUCUGGAUCAGCUCUUACCCUCUUGACCGUUACUCUGUUUGUUUCUUGGAUAGUGUUGGAAGAUCAAAGGAUUGAUCUUUGCUUUUAACACAUUUGAUUAUAAUUUUCUGUACAGGAAGAUGACAGGCUUAGAGUAUGUGAUCAGUGAUGCUACUGAGCCAAACCUGUUUGUCUUUCCCAAGCAAAAGAAAGAUUGUCCUGAGAAGGUUACACCGAAGCUAGAGUAUUAUAUCUUGGACAGUACUAUAUUCCAAGCUCCAUAUCGUUGCAGUGUCUUAAUUUGCUGCUCGAGUUGUUUGGUCGUGAUAUUCAUAAUAUUUUGAUGGCUUUCUCUGCUGAUGCAUCAAAGUUGGAGACCAUUAGGCAGGUUGAUGCUAAAAACGAGAACGAGCCCUCCAAGACAAAAGCCCCCAAUGCUAACACCACUUCUCCUUCGGUAAGUAUCUCCAAUAAAAGUUAAUGUUUUUCCUUAGUUGGGUUUUAUGGGUUUGCUCUGUGACGAGGAAUGGAAUUUGAAGUUCUUAGAUUCAUUCAAAGAGGAUAUCGUUGUAAAAAACAGGAAGCAACACCUUGUGUAAGAAAAAAAACGCCAUAAGGAUAUUCUUCUAAGACGAUAAGUUUCCACAAACAUCGGAAGUGAACAAUAUAUAUGUCGAAUAAGUCAAGAGUUCUAAGAGCAAUGCAUUUCUUCAGGCUGAUCUUGCUAUAGUAGAGGACGGUAGUGAUAAGAUAGUAAUCAGGUUAGCGUUAGGCCAACGAACCGGACCUGGUUUGCAGCAUCUCAUUAUUCUUUUAAUUAUUGUUUUGAUUGAGUUAGUUGUUAAUAACGGAGACUGAUUCUUCCUAAUGUAUUGGGACUUAAUCGUCCCACUUUUUUCCAUUUCCUCUUUGUAAGGGAUCAUGAUCCCACAAUUGUUCCAUGUAACUUUUAUCUAUUUAAAUCAAUGAAAACAAUAAAAAGAGGUCGCCUUAACUACCUAAAAAAAUAGUGUGUUCUUAGUUUGUUCUUGAGAAAAUUCUCUUAGCUUUGAAGAGGGACCUUAAUUGGUAUUAAAACACAUGUUUCUGGAUCAACAUUUAGUGAUCCUGUUACCGGGACCUAUCAGGUAGCAUCGGCUCUUCUUCCGGUAACACGGCUCUUUCUACCCUUAUUUUUACACUUAAUGGUAGCAAAAUGCAGGGGAUGGCAGAGCCGUUAUAUUUAGGAAUGGUGAAGCACUACAAGAAAAGUGUAUUAACAGCGACAAAACUUUCCGACAAUUUAUGUCAUCAGAAAAAUAGCUAGGAUUUUCUAAGAAUUUACUGAGAACAUAUUUA